rnacentral:misc_RNA from 1 species
GAUGAAGAACGUAGCGAAAUGCGAUAAGUAAUGCGAAUUGCAGAAUUUCCGUGAGUCAUCGAAUCUUUGAUCGCACAUUGCGCCCACUGGUAUUCCGGUGGGCAUGCCUGUUCGAGCGUCAUUAUCCUCCCUCAAACCCCGGGUUUGGUGUUGGACCCAAGUUGUGUGAACAACUGGUCUCAAAGACAAUGACGGCGUCCGUGGGACCCUCGGUGCAACGAGCUUUUAGGAGCACGCAUCGAGUUGCAAGGACCUUCCGGGCCGGUCUCCUUUACCAUUUUACAAGGUUGACCUCGGAUCAGGUAGGAAUACCCGCUGAACUUAAGCAUAUCAAUAAGCGGAGGA